rnacentral:rRNA from 1 species
GAUGAACGCUGGCGGCGUGCCUAAUACAUGCAAGUCGAGCGAACGGACGCGAAGUUUGCUUCUUUGAUGUUAGCGGCGGACGGGUGAGUAACACGUGGAUACCCCACCUAUAAGUCUGGUAAAACCUCGGGAAACCGGCGCUUAUACCGGAUGAUAUUUUGAACCGUAUGGUUCAAAAGUGAAAGUCGGCCUUUCUGUCUCUUAUAGCGGGAUCUGCGCUGCAUUAGCUAGUUGGUAAGGUAACGGCUUACCAAGGCAACGAUGCAUAGCCGACCUGCGCGGGUGAUCGGCCGCCUGAGAGGUGGAACGCGGUCACGGCUACUACGGGACGCAGCAGACGGCUAUCUGACGCAGUAGGCGAGAGCCUGGCAGAGUGGCCGCACGUCAGUGAUAGAGACCUUCGGAUCGUGAAGCUCGGUUAUUAGGUGAAAACAUAUGUCUAAAUAAAUGUACACAUCUUGACGGUACCUGAUCAAAAAGCCACGGCUAACUACGUG